UACAGAGGUCUCAAGCGUUGUUCGGAUUCAUUGGGCGUAAAGCGCGUGUAGGCGGCCCGAUAAGUCCGCUGUGAAAGUCCAGGGCUCAACCCUGGGAUGCCGGUGGAUACUGUCGGGCUCGAGUCCGGAAGAGGCGAGUGGAAUUCCUGGUGUAGCGGUGAAAUGCGUAGAUAUCAGGAGGAACACCAACGGCGAAGGCAGCUCGCUGGGACGGUACUGACGCUAAGGCGCGAAAGCGUGGGGAGCGAACAGG
rnacentral:rRNA from 1 species